GAAGUCGGAAUCGCUAGUAAUCGUGGAUCAGCAUGCCACGGUGAAUACGUUCCCGGGCCUUGUACACACCGCCCGUCACACCAUGGGAGUUGGAUCUACCCGAAGAUUGUGAGCUAACUUCGGAGGCAGCAAGCCACGGUAGGUUCAGCGACUGGGGUGAAGUCGUAACAAGGUAGCCGUAGGGGAACCUGCGGCUGGAUCACCUCCUU
rnacentral:rRNA from 14 species